UUUUUUUUUUUUUUAAAUCCUGACCCCAGAGUAUGCCAGACCCGCCACAAAUACAGAGAUUCCACUGUUCACACGGACAGAGUCUCCCCUGUAUUUGCACGGCGUCGCACAAGUACAACAGUACAAACAGGAUACAACCACAAUUAUAUGAAUAUAGAAAUCACCAUACAUUCAUACAUUCACCAUUCACAUCACAGAUAUGCAUUCAAUGUCUAAAUAUAAAUCCAUAGAAAAUCUUUUGAAAACUGUUCCCUACACAGGAACCUUUAUUCUUUAAAAAACGCUACCACGAGGGGUAGAAAACCUUUUAUUUUACAAAAUCCAGAAAUCCACANAUUUUCUCAAAAUCCGUGCAUCAAACUCAAAAUCCGUCAGCGCCAGUAGUUCCAGAAUAGUUGAAUCCUUCGAAAUGAGCUAUUGGACUGCUAUGAACGGAGUCCGAUACGCACCAGAAGCCAACUCUACUCCGUGGCCUCUUCGGAAAACCGGAGUUACUAUUCACUUAAGUGAAAACUAAUAAUCGCGUAACUUCUCCGUUUUAGCUCAUUUUCUCCUGAAACUUGACGAGUGCUUAUGUAAUUAAAUUACACACAUAAACAUCGUCAACAAAGAGUUUAGUUGCACUGUCAAAAAAAUCUCAGUCCUUACACCGUAUGCCAUGCCCACGAGAUCCUCGGGCAACGCAGUUGCCUCUUAGAAAAUAGAAAUUGCCUCUUAGAAAAUAGAAACUAAUGAGACGAGGAGUCGAAGCAGCGACGUUACAGAGAAGGAAUUAAUGAGACAGAAAGCCAAAAAGGCAGACGUUACAGGAAAAGAAUUAAUGAGAUGGAAAGCCGAAGAGGCAUGCGUUAUAGGAAAGGAAUUAAUGAGACGGAAAGCUGAACAGGCAGACGUUACGAGGAGGGUGAGUGAUCGCAAUAAUUGGAUAGUAGAAAUUUUGAAAAGGAGAGACUAUGAUGUUGCCAUGUGGCAAAAGCUUAUGGAAAAUAAUGUAUGUGUAUAGAUAUAGAUGGAGACAAAAUAUUUAGUGACAAAGUAUAUUUUUGUCGUUAAAAGUAAUUAAAUAACGACUAAAUUUACUGUUCGUCGCCAAAAAAAAAAGAAGAGAUUUUGUAAAAUGUAAUUAGCGACAAUUUACCUUUAUUGCUAAAACAUAGUCGCUAUUAGUUUAAUGGGGUCACUUUUUUCUUCCCUAAAUUAAUUUUAGCGACAGACGAUAAUUAAUAGCGUCGAAAUCUAACGUCACUAUAAGGUUGAAUAAUUAGCGACCAAGUAUUUGGUUGCUGAAAGUCAAUUUUUAGCAACACAUUAAUACUUCAUCACUAAAUAUUAAAAAUUUAUUUUAAUUUUUGUUGCUAUAUAUUUAUGAAAUAAAAUUUAAAUUAUUUUAUUUGGUUAAAUUAAAUAUUUUACUUAAAUUAAAUAUUUUACUUCAUUUAACUAUAAUAUUUUUUUUAUUAGUGCUUAAUUCUUAUAAUUUUAUUAAUUAAUUAAAAUUUAUGAAAUAUUGAUGAUUUGUUAUAAUUUUGAUCUUAUAUGGUUGUUUUGAAAUU
rnacentral:lncRNA from 1 species